rnacentral:lncRNA from 1 species
CUCAGCUGACCCCAUGGGGAGCUGUGAGCUGGGGGGACUUUCAGAGUCGCUCUGCAUUAAGAUGCGGAAAUUGAGACUCAAAGAGGUUGAGCAGCAAUUCCGUGAGCUGAAACUUAAGCCCAGAUGCAUGUGAUUCCAGAGGCAGGCCCAGGCCCACUCGCCUCCUGUGAGUAUCAGGGAAGUCCAGUGCUGUCUGCUGCUGGCCUGUGAUGGAUGAAUUGGCCCUCUUGGACUUGGUCCAGUGCUUUCAAACUCGACUUUGUCCCUCCAUCCAUAUGUUCAGGCUUUUUUCCCUCCUCCCCACAGCCUGGGCAUGGCAGGUGAAGGAGCCUCCUCCUCUACUUUCUCUGCUUCUCAAAUGUUCUAAGACUUGGGAGAAGCCCAAAGACCUCCAGGCUCUUCACUCAUUCAUUCAACAGAUACCUUCUGAGCAUCUGGUAUGUUCUGGAUUUUGUCGUAGGGGUUGUGAACACAGCAGGCCAGGUUGUUGUCCGCAUGGAGGUUAUCAUGAACAAAUGCAUCAACGAGAAGAUUGUAGGGAAUGGCAUGAGCUUUGAUGUUACUAAAACAAGUUGGUGUCAUUGGAAGUGACUGGGGGAUGCGAGAGGGGCUGUUUUGCUAGCAUGUAGGGAAAUCCACUCCAUAGAGGGGAUGUUCGAACCGAGAUUUAAAUGAAAAGAAGCCACUCAGAGGAAGAUCUAGAAGAAGAAUAUUCCACACCAAGAGAGCGACAAGUGCAAAGUUCUCAAGGUUGGAAUGGACUUUACCAACUCAAGGAAGAGAAACGAGGCUGGAGCUUGGAGAGCAGGGGCAGAGGUCUGCUUCAGGGGACCCCCAAUCUAAGACAGAUAUCCCCAAUUUCACAUGAAGAGACUGAGGCAGCUGGAGGCAAAGCAGCUUGUACAAGACCCCACAAGAAGAGGAGGAGUUGCUUUCUUGAACUGCUGUGGUUUUACCCACAGUCACCGGACCGUGCUGCCGCCCUGGUGGGAGGAUGUGUCUGCCUGCACAGCAUUCCCACAGCAACCAGCACAGCCCUUGUGUGGUGGAGGUGCCGGGCAUACUGAGAUGCAUCUGUCAGCAUCUGCCUCCUGGUACCUUGGGCCUGCAUGUCUGGCAGGCAGGUAGAAGAACACGCUGGCCAUUUCAAUGUUAAGACAAAGAGGUAGAGAAGGCUGGAUGAAGGAGGUGAUGACUGAACCAUAUCCUGAGGCAGCUGGGGUUUCCAGGAAGAGGACAGAGAGAAGGACAUUCAGGUGGAGGAGCCAGCAGAUGUGACAACCAGUGCACAGAGAGAUUAACUAACUUGCCGUCCAGUGGGCAUGUGGUGGAGCCCAGGGUGAAACCCAGGCAGUCUCU